rnacentral:rRNA from 1 species
UAAGAAAUAAUAAAGGGCGUAUGGGGGAUGCCUUGGCUCUUAGAGGCGAAGAAAGACGUGAUAAACUGCGAUAAGUUGCGGGGAUUGGUUGUACGAUUUGAUCCGCAAAUUUCUGAAUGGGGCAACCCACCCUACCUAUGUAGGGUAUCUCUUUAUUUAAUAGAUAAGAGAAGCAAACCUGGAGAACUGAAACAUCUAAGUACCCAGAGGAAGAGAAAACAAAUAGUGAUUCCAUAAGUAGUGGUGAGCGAACGUGGAUUAGCCCAAACCAUAGCAGUUUCGGCUGUUAUGGGGUUGUAGGACUAGCAAUUUAAAUGCAUGGCAAGAACUUAAAUUAUUUUGGAAAAAUAAGCCAUAGAAGGUGAAAGCCCUGUCAAGGUAAUUGGUAUGCGUUUAGUUAGUAUCCUGAGUAGAUCAGUCCCGGUGAAAGGCUGAUUGAAUUUGCCGGCACCAUCCGGUAAGGCUAAAUACUCCUAAGAGACCGAUAGUGAACAAGUACCGUGAGGGAAAGGUGAAAAGUACCCUGAAUAAGGGAGUGAAAUAGUUCCUGAAACCAUACGCUUACAAGCAGUCGGAGUUUUUUUAAUAAGGUAUAAUAUAUACGCAAGUAUUAUUAUAACCUUGCGUUUUGUAUAAAAUGACGGCGUGCCUUUUGUAUAAUGAGCCUACGAGUUAAUCUUUUCUGGCAAGGUAAAUCCUUUUGAAAGGAAAAGCCGAAGCGAAAGCGAGUCUGAAUAGGGCGCUUUAGUCAGAGGAGUUAGACGCGAAAGCCGGUGAUCUACCCAUGGCCAGGUUGAAGCGUUGGUAAAACAACGUGGAGGACCGAACCAGUGGAUAUUGUAACGUCCUUGGAUGAGCUGUGGGUAGGAGUGAAAGGCUAAUCAAACCGGCAGAUAGCUCGUACUCUCCGAAAUGUUUUUAGGAACAGCCUUAAGUGUAUACUGAUAGGGGUAGAGCUACCGAUAGGACUAGGGGGGUAACCUACCGUGUCCAGACGAACUCCGAAUACUAUCAGUUUUGCUUAGGAGUGAGGGUUAGGGCGUUAAGGUCCUAAUCCGAGAGGGAAAGAACCCAGACCAUCAGCUAAGGUCCCCAAAUAUAUACUAAGUUGAACUAAGAAGGUUUAGUUGCUUAGACAGUCAGGAUGUUGGCUUGGAAGCAGCCAUUCAUUUGAAGAGUGCGUAACAGCUCACUGAUCGAGCGACAAAGCGUCGAUGAUGAACGGGCAUUAAGUAUAUUACCGAAGCUAUGGCCUUGCUGCUUUAGGCAGUAAGGGGUAGGAGAGCAUUCUAAUCAAGCUGAAGCUAAAUAGUGAUGUUUGGUGGAUUGAUUAGAAAAGAAAAUGUAGGCAUGAGUAACCAAAAUAAUGGUGAGAAACCAUUACACCGUAAGACUAAGGUUUCCAUGGCGAUGGUUGUCAUCCAUGGGUUAGUCGGGCCCUAAGCUGAAGCCGAACGGCGUAAGCGAUGGAAGAUCGGUUAAUAUUCCGAUACUAGCUAGCAAUAGAGAAGGGGGACGAAGGAGUGAAAGGUCUGCCUUCUGACGAAUUUAGAAGGUUAAAGCCCGUAGAUAUAGGUGUGGCAGGCAAAUCCACCAUACUUGUCGAAGGUGAUAGUACUACAAUCCCUCGGGGGCGUAGAUAAUGACCCUAAUCAUACUUCCAAGAAAAGCCUCUAAUCGUUAGGUGCUAGCUAACCGUACCGCAAACCAACACAGGUAGUUGAGGAGAAUAUCCUAAGGUGUUCGAGUGAUUCGUGGCCAAGGAACUCGGCAAAAUAGCCCUGUAACUUCGGGAGAAAGGGUGCCUCAUUGGUCCUCUUAGGAGGGUCAAUAGGCCGCAGUGAAAAGGCCCAGGCGACUGUUUACCAAAAACACAAGACUUUGCAAAAUCGAAAGAUGAAGUAUAAGGUCUGAUACCUGCCCGGUGCUGGAAGGUUAAUAGGAGGUGUUAAGUCGCAAGAUUGAAGCGCUGAAUAGAAGCCCCAGUAAACGGCGGCCGUAACCUUGACGGUCCUAAGGUAGCGAAAUUCCUUGUCGGGUAAGUUCCGACCUGCACGAAUGGUGUAACGAUCUGGGCGCUGUCUCAGCCACGAGCUCGGUGAAAUUGGAGUGGCGGUGAAGAUACCGUCUACCCGCAAUGGGACGAAAAGACCCCAUGAACCUUUACUAUAGCUUAACAUUGAUAAUAUGUAGAUGAUGUGUAGGAUAGGUGGGAGACUGCGUAAGCAGUCGCCGUUGAAAUACCACCCUUUAUGUAUGUGUUAUCUAAUCCUUUUGAAGAAGGAGACAGUGUUUGGUGGGUAGUUUGACUGGGACGGUCGCCUCCUAAAAAGUAACGGAGGCUUUCAAAGGUACCCUCAGUACGGAUGGUAAUCGUACGUAGAGUGCAAUAGCAUAAGGGUGCUUGACUGUGAGACAAACAAGUCGAGCAGAGUCGAAAGACGGAUAUAGUGAUCCGGUGGUUCCGAAUGGAAGGGCCAUCGCUAAAAGGAUAAAAGGUACUCUGGGAUAACAGGCUGAUCUCCCCCAAGAGCUCAUAUCGACGGGAGGUUUGGCACCUCGAUGUCGGCUCGUCACAACCUGGAGCUGAAGCACGUUCCAAGGGUUGGGCUGUUCGCCCAUUAAAGUGGCACGCGAGCUGGGUUCAGAACGUCGUGAGACAGUUCGGUUUCUAUCUAUUGCGGGCGUUAGAAGUUUGAGAGGGGCUGACCUUAGUACGAGAGGACCGGGUUGGGUAAACCUCUGGUGUAUCAGUUGUGACGUCAGUUGCACUGCUGAGUAGCUACGUUUAUAAGAGAUAAGUGCUGAAAGCAUCUAAGCACGAAACUCGCCUCAAGAUGAGACUUCAAUAAGGGUGGUUAAAGACGAUGACCUUGAUAGGUUGCAGGUGUAAAGUCAGAAAUGGCAAAGCUGAGCAAUACUAAUUACCCGAAUGUUUCUUGU